GUCCACAGCCAUAUCACCCUGCAGCCCAAGACCGGUUACUCACUGAAGCUAAGCAGGGUUGAGCCUGGUUAGUACCUGGAUGGGAGACCACUAGGGAACACUAGGUUGCUGUUCGAA
rnacentral:rRNA from 1 species